rnacentral:lncRNA from 1 species
UUCAAGCAUUCUAUGAUAUGUUUUUUUGUAAAAUCAAGCCAUAAUAUUGUAACCAAAUUAUUCUCAUUAUUCUAUCCAUGACAUGUCAAUAAUCAUUAGUUCGACUUACUAGUCACUUACUAGUACACUCAUAUUUAGAUCUAACGUCACGUCUAUGCAAUAAUACUUCGCAUAACAUCUAUUAAAUCCUGCCAUCAUAUGUCUUUUGAUUAGUACCUCCCUAUCAUUUAUAACAACAAAUAGAUGUAUACAUGCAUAAAAAUGUAUAGGAACAUACUUGCAAUCAUAAGUGGAUUAUACUUGGUUCAUAUUUUUCUCCGUACACUGCGACUGUUGAAAGAAUAUUUUCUUCAAUAGUUUUAUUGAUUUUUAGAGUCUCAUUUAUCAUAUGCAAGUUAGAGCCAAAAAAUUAGCAAUUCACCACAUAGAGGCUACUACUCACCACUGUGCUUGGCACAUUGAGUAGAAUGUAUUCAUUUGAAUAUCCUCAUUUUUUAAUAUAAAUGCUUAGGUUAUAUAAGUUUUGGGGGUAAUGCCAUUUUUUGUAUCCCCAGCUGAUAUGCAUUGAAUACACAGCCUGUUUAAUUGUGCACAACCAGAUAAUCCAAUGCCCACAACUCAGCCCUUUAUAUUGAACAUUAAGCCCCACGUUCAGGAAAAACAACCCUUAAUCAAAAUAACGACAACCCAAUUAAAUAUUUAGUUCUUAGAAUGUGUAGGACAAAUGAGACAAAGCAGAAUAAGGGAACACGCAACUCAAUAUCUUUUGCUCAUUUCUCCUCCUAAAAAGUAAUAGAUAAACUACACGGACUCAAACAUCAGGUCCUCUCUCUGUUCAUUUACGUAUAAAAUCGAUAUAAAUGAUUUUUUUUUUCUUUUGGGGGGAGGUGUCCCAAUUGGUGGAUGACCUAGAACACAGUCAAUUUUUUUUUUCUAUAUGAGGAGAAAUACUUUUUUGUUUUCCAGUUGAAAUAAAAAAAUCAUUGCGCCAUGACAUCAAGUCGAGUCAUGGAGGCCAAUACCUUUGAUCCAUUUACGCUGAAAAAGUUUUGCGAAAUAGAAGCAAAUGGUUCGACAGAGACAAGAAUACAAGUAAACUUCAUACAGUCCACUCUAUGCCUCUUAAAAACCUAACACCUCAAUAAGGCAUCAUUUGUUUUUAGAAUUCUCAUUUUUGGCAUCGUAAUCAAACUUCAUUAUCUAAUUUUUUCAUGUACAUUCUCAGUUUUAGCAAGUCGCCGCACACCUGUUUGGUAAGUUUGGGCGGUGCUUAUGGGUUCCAAUUUCUAACACAUCCGAUUUGCCAAAAAAUUGUCGAAGAAUUUUAAAAACCUCGAUAGAAAGAUUCUGAAUUGGGUAAACGAAGAGUGAUAUUAAUGGUACAAUUGAACGAGAAAAGCCACAUAAACUCCAACAAAAGAAUGCGAAAAGAAUGAUAAAGAAUGUUGAGGAGAUGGAAAAAAUUAUAACGAUCAAACGAGUCAGAGUUCGAAGAUGAGAAGAAAUGCCUCUCAGAGGAUUAUUGUGGAAUUUUGGACGUAUGAAGCUUGGUACACGAGUGGUAAAUAUGAUCGUGAGGUUGAAGAACUUUAAAGAAGUCUAACUUUGAAAAAUGGCUCUCUCAUGAUUCACCCACUCAAUGUUGAGUUAAGAAGAAGCCAAUUCUUGCUUCAAAAUUCACAGCUUCUGCCUUUAACACAAUGGAGAAGGUACUAGAAAAGAUUCGAGACAAGACCACUCCAAAGAUUGGUAUUUGGGGAAUGGGUGGAGUGGGCAAGACCACUGUCAUGCAACUCCUAAACAAUAGCCCUGAGAUCGCAUCAAUGUUUGAUUUUGUGAUAUGGGUGACCGUCUCAAAAUCUUGGACCAUUAGACAGGUACAAGAGGAAGUUGUGCAGCGUUUAUCAAUGGAAAUAAAAAAUGAGGGUCAACGAAGAGUUGUUGCAAAUUGUUAUGAGGAACUGAGGGCAAGAAAUUUUGUUGCUUUAGACGAUUGUUUGGCAGGAGGGGAUUUAAAUGUUGAGGGGUUCCAAACUGCCCAUCAAGAAAACUGGGUGCAAAGUGGUUUGACAACCAGAAAAAAGAGACGUUUGUCAGAAGAUGGAGAUUGAUUAUAUGAUCAAGGUGGAAGGUUUGACUUGAAAAAGAAGCAGGGAGAGGUUCACACUAAAAGUGGGGAAUGUUGUAGAGCUCCAACCACAGAACAAUAUGCUGAAGAAAUAGUCAGAAAAUGUGGGGGCUGCCACUUGACAAUUAAGGGUUGUGGGUGGGUUUACGAAAUAAAAAUAAAGAGAAUUUUGGAAGCAGUUCUUAAAAAACUUAAAGUCACAGGAGAGGCUGUGAUGAAGAUAUUAAUGAAAGAUUAGUGUUCAAGCCAUUAAACAGUUAGUUAUGAUUGUUAAUUAGACAUAAGAACGAAUUGUUUCUUUGUUUUGUGGACCUAGUAUCCGGAGAUAAGAAGAUUGGCGUAUUCGAAAUUGAUAGGUUACUGGAGAGCAGA